UUCCAUCCGCAGUUUUUUUGUGCUGUGCUCCGAACCCGAGUGGUCGAAGCACCACGAGAAGCUGCAGAUGGGA
rnacentral:pre_miRNA from 1 species